UACGAAGGGGGCUAGCGUUGCUCGGAAUCACUGGGCGUAAAGCGCACGUAGGCGGAUCUUUAAGUCAGGGGUGAAAUCCUGGAGCUCAACUCCAGAACUGCCUUUGAUACUGGCAAGCUUGGAGUCCGGGAGAGGUGAGUGGAACUGCGAGUGUAGAGGUGAAAUUCGUAGAUAUUCGCAAGAACACCAGUGGCGAAGGCGGCUCACUGGCCCGGUACUGACGCUGAGGUGCGAAAGCGUGGGGAGCAAACAGG
rnacentral:rRNA from 1 species